UUAAGGUUAUAAGUUUAGGUUAUAGGUUUAGGUUUAGGUUAUAGGUUAUAGCUUUAGGGAAUUGAGAAUAGGUUAAGGUUUAGGUUUAGGAAAUCGAGUUCGGGUUCGGGAUCGGGUUUAGGUUUGGGUUUUCAAGUUUAGGUUUAGGUUAAGGAGUUGAGAUUAGGAUUAGGUGUAGGUUUAGGUUUAAGGAUUUGAGAAUACAUUUAGGUUUAGGUUAAGGUUAUAGGUUUAAGUUAGGUUUAGGUUAAGGUUAUAGGUUUAGGUUAAGUUUAGGUUUAGGUUAUAGGUUAUAGGUUAUAGCUUUGGGAAUUGAGAAUAGGUUAAGGUUUAGGUUUAGGAAAUCGGGUUCGGGUUCGGGAUCGGGUUUAGGUUUGGGUUUUCAAGUUUAGGUUUAGGUUUAAUUUAGGGAGUUGAGAUUAGGAUUAGGUGUAGGUUUAAGUUUAAG